rnacentral:lncRNA from 1 species
ACAAAGAGCUCUGAAGAAAGAGAAAAGCAGAAGAGAGAGAGAGAGAGAGAGAGAGAGAGAGAGAGAGAGAGAGAGAGAGAGAGAGAGAGAGAGAGAGAGAGAGAGAGAAAAGAGAUCAUGGGAGUUGCAGAAGAGCAGAAAGGAAUCGAAGAACCAACGAGGGUCAUCACUCAACCUAUAACCCAAGCCCAAUUUCUCUCAUGGAAGCAAAACAAGG